rnacentral:lncRNA from 1 species
GAAGGCAGAGAGGCUUAAGCGGUGGGAUUUGUCAUUUUAUGCGUUUUACAGUUUAGUCCUUGUUUUUAUCAUAUUCACGAUUAGGUCCUUAGGGUUUACAUAUAGGUCCUCAGAUUCUUUUUUUUUUUUUUUGUAACAGAUCUCCCAAAUCUUAAAAAUAAGUUACCUCUGAUUCAUACUCUAUUUCUUUUGUCAAUUUAAAAUAGAUGCUUACAUUAUCACCAGAAAUUUAUACGAAAAUUCGGAAAUGAGGGGUGUUAC